rnacentral:rRNA from 1 species
UACGUAGGGCGCGAGCGUUGUCCGGAAUUAUUGGGCGUAAAGAGCGUGUAGGCGGCCAGGUAGGUCCGUUGUGAAAACUCGAGGCUCAACCUCGAGACGUCGGCGGAAACCCUCUGGCUAGAGUCCGGAAGAGGAGAGUGGAAUUCCUGGUGUAGCGGUGAAAUGCGCAGAUAUCAGGAAGAACACCCGUGGCGAAGGCGGCUCUCUGGGACGGUACUGACGCUGAGACGCGAAAGCGUGGGGAGCAAACAGG